GAAAGCACUUGCUCUCGUGCAAGCUACACAAUGGAAGCAUUUACUUGUGUUUGUCUUGUGCUUCGGCUGAUUCGACUGCGGUGGACCUUCGUGCAUUCUUCCUCGUGCCGUGUGCUCCGGAGACCCUGUCUGCUGCUGAGUCUCUUCCAGGGCCCCACAGAUGCAGCCUUUCCAACGAGAUUGUGAGGAGCCAGCUACCAGCAGAUGCAUCCAGGAGACCUCCCAGCCUGUGAAGACUCAUUCUUCUUCUGAGGCCUCACGCCUUGAAUAGGAGACCAAAUAGGGCCAGCAUUUAUUUGUCUUGGGCCGCUCUGUUUGUGCAGGCUGUCUUCCCGCAGUAACCCGGAGCGUCGCUUAAGGAGCGUGGGGACAGGCGGCAAGCCGGCCGUGAGAAUGCUUUCGUUUGUGUGAAGGCCCCCACAGGCCCCGGCCGUGGAUUGCUUAUUUACGUUCAAGAAAUAAACAUUGAAGAAUGAAAAUCAAAACCAGCAGGAAUUUAGACAGAGACAUUCUGGGUGGUAAGGCAGAUUGUGUGAUGAUUUCACAAGCAGGAUUUCGGAGAGGAUUCUGUCCUCAUACUAAUAUGUUUGAGGGUGGAACAGUCCGUUUUCUCGCUGCCCUGCUGUUACCUGCAGUCCUUGGAUUCCAGGCCCCUGUUCUUCCUUGCUUUUGUUCUUACCUUGCCUCCGUUUAUUAAGGGCUUAUUGGAUGCGACGCUUUGCACUGAGAGCCUUCUGUGAAUCCCGAACAUUUGAGAUGGGUCUCAGUUAAUUUAGAAAGUUUAUUUUGCCAAGUUUGAGGACCCACGCCUGUGGCACAGCCUCAGGAAGUCCUGCUAACAUGGAGACUUCACAUUCCCAGGUCUCAUUUCCAGGGCCCACUGGCCAGAACUAUUCUUGGUCAGGGCGUAGGUUAGUUUUCUACAUUUUAGGGAGACACGAGACAUCAAUCCAUACACGUAAGAAGUACAUUGGUUCAGUCUGGGAAGGCGGGACAACUCGAAGCAAAGGCAGGAAGACUUCAAGCGAAGCGGAGGGGGCCUCCAGGUCACACGUAGGUGAGAGACUAAUGGUUGCAUUCUUUUGAGUUUCUGAUUAGCCUUUCCAACAGAGGCAAUCAGAUAUGCAUCUAUGUCAGCGAGCAGAGGGGUGACUUUGAAUAGAAUGGGAGCAGUUCCCAGCUUGAAGGGGCACAAGAUCUUAUCCUUUCACACUUCUAUGCUCUGCUCAUUUAAUUCUCACAGUUCAGUGCGGCAGGCACCAUUACUAAACCUAUGUUACAAAUGGGGAAACAUAUCUAAAGAAGUUCACAUCUUUCGCCAAGGUCACAGAGCAGUAAAUACAGACUCUGGAGUCCAGCAGCACCUCAACUUUUACUUUAAAGCCAAGCCAUUAACCGUUGGGCUUCACGACCUCCCUCAAAGAAAACUGCUGCCUGCCUUUCCUUUUAAAUAAAAACUUUGUUCUUUACAUUCUAAA